rnacentral:lncRNA from 10 species
CCAAACUGAUUAGCCACGUCAGAAAGUUUUUUAUUCCCAAAGUUCAGAGAGCACUCUCCACAUUGCUUCUCUGUGCCUUUCUUUGUGAGAGGAAAGGAAUUAGAGUGGAUCGUAUCAAGGUGAAGGGAUACUGCUGGAAGAUGGACAGUGAAUUGUCAGAAUUCAGAAGUUCCAGGUCAGAGGUUGACUCAGCCACCCCUGGGCUGAUGGAACCAUCAGAAGGAUCCUCUGAUUCAGUCCCCAAACUGGGCCCUGUGGAGCAGCAUCCCAGACAGCAGGAAUCGGACCUGCAAUUACUCCUUGGGACUCAGGGAGGAGUUUUAACAAGAAAACUGCACAUCUUCAGAGCAGGUGGUCUUUUCUGUCUCUAUAAUCAAACAAAAAUUUUUUUCGACUGUUCUAUAACAGACUGCUGCCUGGGAUCCUAGAACUGUUGCGUUUUUGAUCUUCCUCUUCGCAGCAUGGACAGUGGAUCCCCUUGAUCUGCAAGCCCUGCCCUGCCUCUCUCUGCACGCUGGGGGUUCAGGGAGGCUACACCCUUGGGGGGCACUGGGAGCUGCUGGAGAUGUGCACAGCGAGCAGUGGAGAGCAGUCGUCUCUUCUGAUCUACAUGCAGGGGAACUGGUGAGAGUUGCCGUAGGACCUCUGGUGAAAUUACCUUGGCUACUGACUAGUAAAGAGAUGAGAAAGGAGAGGUACUAUAGAUUUUCUUUAAGAAAUAAAUAUUGUCUCCUCUUUCUCUCUUUUCUCUGGUAAACAGUGCCCAAAUUUGGAAAUAUCACGUGUAAUUUAUUGUCCCACUUUAAAUGUUUCUUGUAACCAUGAAUUACUAUUCUUGGAUCAGAUUCCAUUAUAAUAAACUCCCACUUGGACUCCAAAUUCUUUUACAACAGUGGAAUUUUGCUUGAACUAACGCAUUGUUAUAAAUCACAUUUUCUGACCCCAGCCUGGAGUUCA